UACGAAGGGUGCAAGCGUUACUCGGAAUUACUGGGCGUAAAGCGUGCGUAGGUGGUGAGUUAAGUCUGUCGUGAAAGCCCCGGGCUCAACCUGGGAAUGGCGAUGGAUACUGGCUCGCUAGAGUGCGGUAGAGGAGAGUGGAAUUCCCGGUGUAGCAGUGAAAUGCGUAGAGAUCGGGAGGAACAUCAGUUGCGAAGGCGGCUCUCUGGACCAGCACUGACACUGAGGCACGAAGGCGUGGGGAGCGAACGGG
rnacentral:rRNA from 1 species